rnacentral:lncRNA from 1 species
AAAAACAUAAAAAAUAAAAAUAUAAAUAAAAUAAAAAAUAAAUAAGAAAAAAUUAUAAAAUUAAUAAUUUAUAUUUAUAAUAGCAAUAAAAGUUAAGAAUUAAAAUAUCAUAUACCUCAUAGCUCGAACCACAAAUUGUAAUUAAUUAAAAUAUAAGCUCUAAAGCGUUACGUUUCUCGUAUUCUAAAAUGUCACACGUCUUAUAGUUUGAUAACCAAAAGUGCAAUUUACUUUUUUUAUAUUUUGAUUUUAUUUCAGAAGAAGACAGAGCUAAGCAUCGAUCAGUUUUAUUCGAUCAAUAAUUUUAUUCGAGAAAAGAAUAUGUUACACAAUCUAAUAAAAUUUAAAAUGCCUAAUUGUUAAAGUUAAAAAUCGACCGAUCAUAUUUUUAAUAUUUUAAAAUAUUUUAAAUAUGAAAUUAAUUGUUCAUCAGACUAUAAAUAUAGCAUUGAAAUUUGAUAUUAAAAUCAAAGUAAAAAUGUAUAGUAUUUUUCUAAAAUACAAACAAAUAUUUUAAAUCAACUAUCGAACUUUUCAAAAUUUUAUUUUUACUAUCUAAUCUUUUUAUACAUUAGAUUUGAGUUAGUCAGUGAUACCUUGACUUUAAAAUUUGAAUGUAUUUUUUAACUUUACAGUUGCAACUAUAUUUAUUAAAAUAACUAAUUAAAUUAAACUUUAUCAAUUUUUUUAUUUUUUAUUUACAAUCUAUAUCUAAUUAAAAAUAUUAUAAAAUUAAAAUUUAUAUUUAAUAUAUACAGUCUAAACUAUUUAAAAGUCAUAUAUAAAUAAUUAUAUAUUAUAAUAAAUUUUUAUAAUGAAAGAGUGAAAAUUAGAUUAGAUUAAAAGAAGACACUACAACAGAAUUAGGUUAUAGUGGUACAUAUUUGGAACAUUUUUGUGUGUUCUAUUUAUGUCAAAAUUUUAAAAAAAAUCGACUAAUGACUAAAUAUAAAGCCCAAUCCAACAAAAAAAAAAAGUUAUUCUACUCAACUCACCCCACCCAGCCCAUUCGGCCCGAUUACAAACAGAAAAAAAAAAAAAAUCGAUUACCAUUUCCCCUUCUCCCUUACUCAAUCUACUGAAAUCCUAGACGAAUAUUCCUUCCUCUCGUCCUCCUCCGCCACCGCAGCAAACGAGAUAGAGUUUCGGCGAUUGCUAAAUGCUUAAAUAAGCGUUGAUAAAUUAACAGCACUCUUUUUAGAUUAUAGCGACACUGUUUAACUGUCACUAUAUACCUUGCGACUCCACUUAUAGUAACACUUUUUAAAAGUGUCGGUAACUUAGCUAGUAGUACUUUUUUUGACAUAUACCAAUAUUUAAAAAUAUCGCUAUAAACCGUUUUUAUUGUAAUGAGAGUUUGAUUCCUCAGUCUAGACUCUAAAUCAGUGAAGGGAGUGAAAAAUUAAAAUAAAAAAAAAUAAAAUAAU